rnacentral:rRNA from 1 species
AACGGGGGGGGGCUAGCGUUAUUCGUCGUUAUUGGGCGUAAAGGGUAUGUAGGUGAUUGUAUAUUUUUUAGAAAUAAAGAACAAAGAUACUUUGUUAUUCUCUAAAGAAUGUUAGUUGAGAUGGAAGAGAUCAGUGGAAUUACUAAUGUAAGGGUAAAAUUUGUCGAUAUUAGUAGGAACACCAAUGGCGUAGGCAAACUGUUUUUUAACAUCUGACACUGAGAUACGAAAGCAUGGGGAUCAAAACAGG